rnacentral:lncRNA from 1 species
GUGGUCUCCUUCCUCCAUCCUGCUACUCACGUCCUUUCCCCCGCUCCUGCUCCCAUCCCAAGACUGAGGUCAAUCACAUCAGCAUCCCUCCCUCCAGACACUCCAGAAGACAGCUGGCCUUGUCAGCCUUCUAAUGGACUGACCCCUCACCCCUUGAUCUAUCUCCACUUCUGUUUACCUUCACUGGGAGGCUUUCUCACCACCUGGGAUCAACAAUUGCCACUUCCCUGACCUCACUUGUCAAACGAUUCUCCCAGUCUGGUGACUCCCUUUACCAAAUGGCAGCAGAAACAAAACAUAGGUCCCUCUGAAGGGACCGCUUCUGACCCUGGCCACGCUCAGCAGCUUCUGAAGUUAAGCAUGACAACUGUUUCUCAGCCUUGUCUCUGGAGAAUCUUGGGUCUGGAAGAAAUCUUACAACUGUGGAAAUCAAAUGAUUGGUAAGCCUGAACUGCCUUCUGUGGCCCAGAGUUGGAGAUGACUGCAAACUCCAUUCCUCAAACCAUCACCACCCAACCCACGUCUCCACCCCUGCUAGAAAGAAGUCAGUGCCUCAGAAAAGGUAAAUGGUGGCAGAAAGACCCUCUGGCAGGAUCAUGGGCAAAGUGACAGCCCCUCCCAAUUCGCUGGCUUCACUCCAGAAUGACUCACUAUUCCAACUUCAGGCACUUUCUCUUUCUUU